CCUCCCUCCCUCCCUCUACCCCUGCUUUCCUCCCGCCUCUACCCUCCUCUACUUUCUAAGCAUCUGCUAGAUCAGGCAUUGUUCUAGGUUUACAGAUCUACAGCGUGGGACAAGAAGACAUCGUAGCCUCUGGCUUUUGGGGAUCAUAGAAACAUUUGCUCCGGGGAAAUGCUAAGUAACAACCUACACCAUUAAUUCUUUAAAAACGACUGUGACUCAGGGCCAGGAAGAAGACUUUGUAAAAGAACCUACAUUGACCAGAGACUUUGCAGCCAGCUCACCCCUCCAACUCCCUGCCCUGGAGUCCCUGACCUGGGAACUUCUGCAUCAGGCUGCUCAAACCUGAACUUGACAAAAUUUCAAAGCACCAAUUCUUUAUGUUGAUAAGACAAUGGUCAAAGUGCUGAACCUGGAACCUAGAUCACUCGAUGUUGCCUGCAGCUGAGUCCACUUCUGUCACUCACCCUGCAUUUCCCUGCUAGGAGCAAGAGAGAGAAAGCCGGCCAGAAGGCAUGGGUGUGGGCUCAGAUCUGGUUCCUCCUGUUGCCACUGUGAAAGUUGAUCAUACAAAGGUCACUGUUGUCAUAGGCCAGCAGAGUUAGGAGACCAGGGGAAAAAGCAUGUAACAUUGCUCCAAGAAUAUAACUGUCUCCAACCCUGGCUGCUGGAACAAGUGUUGCAACCUGAAACCAGUUUGAUCUAAUAGCUACUGAAACGACCUGCGGAAAUCUAAGACCAGUUUCACCCACCCACCAAUCAGAGCUUGCUGGAUCCCCAAAACGUUUCCAGCGCUAACGAACUUGCUUUCCUAACGAUCCGUUAACAUUUCUCAUUUUUAUGAAACCUCCAACCUUCUCUUUGCUCUUUGGACAUACUGAAGACCGCCCAGUCUGUGUGUAUGUCCCAAACUGAAAUUCUUGCUUCCCAAAUAAAACAUUUUAAACUUA